AGCCAGUGAUGAGCUCUUUAACCUUCUGACACCUCUUCUGAAAGCCGCGCUUGCGGUUAACUGAGGACUGACAUGAGCUGAGGCUU